UGCGGGGUGGAGCAGUUGGCAGCUCGUCGGGCUCAUAACCCGAAGGUCGUAGGUUCGAGUCCUACCCCCGCUACCA
rnacentral:tRNA from 1 species